GGUUAAGCGACUAAGCGUACACGGUGGAUGCCCUGGCAGUCAGAGGCGAUGAAGGACGUGCUAAUCUGCGAUAAGCGUCGGUGAGGUGAUAUGAACCGUUAUAACCGGCGAUUUCCGAAUGGGGAAACCCAGUGUGUUUCGACACACUAUCAUUAACUGAAUCCAUAGGUUAAUGAGGCGAACCGGGGGAACUGAAACAUCUAAGUACCCCGAGGAAAAGAAAUCAACCGAGAUUCCCCCAGUAGCGGCGAGCGAACGGGGAGGAGCCCAGAGCCUGAAUCAGUGUGUGUGUUAGUGGAAGCGUCUGGAAAGGCGCGCGAUACAGGGUGACAGCCCCGUACACAAAAAUGCACAUAUUGUGAGCUCGAUGAGUAGGGCGGGACACGUGGUAUCCUGUCUGAAUAUGGGGGGACCAUCCUCCAAGGCUAAAUACUCCUGACUGACCGAUAGUGAACCAGUACCGUGAGGGAAAGGCGAAAAGAACCCCGGCGAGGGGAGUGAAAAAGAACCUGAAACCGUGUACGUACAAGCAGUGGGAGCCUCUUAAUGGGGUGACUGCGUACCUUUUGUAUAAUGGGUCAGCGACUUAUAUUCUGUAGCAAGGUUAACCGAAUAGGGGAGCCGAAGGGAAACCGAGUCUUAACUGGGCGUUAAGUUGCAGGGUAUAGACCCGAAACCCGGUGAUCUAGCCAUGGGCAGGUUGAAGGUUGGGUAACACUAACUGGAGGACCGAACCGACUAAUGUUGAAAAAUUAGCGGAUGACUUGUGGCUGGGGGUGAAAGGCCAAUCAAACCGGGAGAUAGCUGGUUCUCCCCGAAAGCUAUUUAGGUAGCGCCUCGUGAAUUCAUCUCCGGGGGUAGAGCACUGUUUCGGAAAGGGGGUCAUCCCGACUUACCAACCCGAUGCAAACUGCGAAUACCGGAGAAUGUUAUCACGGGAGACACACGGCGGGUGCUAACGUCCGUCGUGAAGAGGGAAACAACCCAGACCGCCAGCUAAGGUCCCAAAGUCAUGGUUAAGUGGGAAACGAUGUGGGAAGGCCCAGACAGCCAGGAUGUUGGCUUAGAAGCAGCCAUCAUUUAAAGAAAGCGUAAUAGCUCACUGGUCGAGUCGGCCUGCGCGGAAGAUGUAACGGGGCUAAACCAUGCACCGAAGCUGCGGCAGCGACACUAUGUGUUGUUGGGUAGGGGAGCGUUCUGUAAGCCUGUGAAGGUGUGCUGUGAGGCAUGCUGGAGGUAUCAGAAGUGCGAAUGCUGACAUAAGUAACGAUAAAGCGGGUGAAAAGCCCGCUCGCCGGAAGACCAAGGGUUCCUGUCCAACGUUAAUCGGGGCAGGGUGAGUCGACCCCUAAGGCGAGGCCGAAAGGCGUAGUCGAUGGGAAACAGGUUAAUAUUCCUGUACUUGGUGUUACUGCGAAGGGGGGACGGAGAAGGCUAUGUUGGCCGGGCGACGGUUGUCCCGGUUUAAGCGUGUAGGCUGGUUUUCCAGGCAAAUCCGGAAAACCAAGGCUGAGGCGUGAUGACGAGGCACUACGGUGCUGAAGCGACAAAUGCCCUGCUUCCAGGAAAAGCCUCUAAGCAUCAGGUAACAUCAAAUCGUACCCCAAACCGACACAGGUGGUCAGGUAGAGAAUACCAAGGCGCUUGAGAGAACUCGGGUGAAGGAACUAGGCAAAAUGGUGCCGUAACUUCGGGAGAAGGCACGCUGAUAUGUAGGUGAAGCGACUUGCUCGUGGAGCUGAAAUCAGUCGAAGAUACCAGCUGGCUGCAACUGUUUAUUAAAAACACAGCACUGUGCAAACACGAAAGUGGACGUAUACGGUGUGACGCCUGCCCGGUGCCGGAAGGUUAAUUGAUGGGGUUAGCGGUAACGCGAAGCUCUUGAUCGAAGCCCCGGUAAACGGCGGCCGUAACUAUAACGGUCCUAAGGUAGCGAAAUUCCUUGUCGGGUAAGUUCCGACCUGCACGAAUGGCGUAAUGAUGGCCAGGCUGUCUCCACCCGAGACUCAGUGAAAUUGAACUCGCUGUGAAGAUGCAGUGUACCCGCGGCAAGACGGAAAGACCCCGUGAACCUUUACUAUAGCUUGACACUGAACAUUGAGCCUUGAUGUGUAGGAUAGGUGGGAGGCUUUGAAGUGUGGACGCCAGUCUGCAUGGAGCCGACCUUGAAAUACCACCCUUUAAUGUUUGAUGUUCUAACGUGGGCCCCUAAUCGGGGUUGCGGACAGUGUCUGGUGGGUAGUUUGACUGGGGCGGUCUCCUCCUAAAGAGUAACGGAGGAGCACGAAGGUUGGCUAAUCCUGGUCGGACAUCAGGAGGUUAGUGCAAUGGCAUAAGCCAGCUUGACUGCGAGCGUGACGGCGCGAGCAGGUGCGAAAGCAGGUCAUAGUGAUCCGGUGGUUCUGAAUGGAAGGGCCAUCGCUCAACGGAUAAAAGGUACUCCGGGGAUAACAGGCUGAUACCGCCCAAGAGUUCAUAUCGACGGCGGUGUUUGGCACCUCGAUGUCGGCUCAUCACAUCCUGGGGCUGAAGUAGGUCCCAAGGGUAUGGCUGUUCGCCAUUUAAAGUGGUACGCGAGCUGGGUUUAGAACGUCGUGAGACAGUUCGGUCCCUAUCUGCCGUGGGCGCUGGAGAACUGAGGGGGGCUGCUCCUAGUACGAGAGGACCGGAGUGGACGCAUCACUGGUGUUCGGGUUGUCAUGCCAAUGGCACUGCCCGGUAGCUAAAUGCGGAAGAGAUAAGUGCUGAAAGCAUCUAAGCACGAAACUUGCCCCGAGAUGAGUUCUCCCUGAGACUUAGAGUCUCCUGAAGGAACGUUGAAGACGACGACGUUGAUAGGCCGGGUGUGUAAGCGCAGCGAUGCGUUGAGCUAACCGGUACUAAUGAACCGUGAGGCUUAACCUU
rnacentral:rRNA from 1 species